rnacentral:rRNA from 1 species
CAGCAGCCGCGGUAAUACGAAGGGGGCUAGCGUUGCUCGGAAUUACUGGGCGUAAAGGGAGCGUAGGCGGACAUUUAAGUCAGGGGUGAAAUCCCGGGGCUCAACCUCGGAAUUGCCUUUGAUACUGGGUGUCUUGAGUAUGAGAGAGGUAUGUGGAACUCCGAGUGUAGAGGUGAAAUUCGUAGAUAUUCGGAAGAACACCAGUGGCGAAGGCGACAUACUGGCUCAUUACUGACGCUGAGGCUCGAAAGCGUGGGGAGCAAACAGGAUUAAAGACCCCCGUAGUCCCUGUCUCUUAUAC